rnacentral:rRNA from 1 species
AGUCGAGCGAUGGAUUAAGAGCUUGCUCUUAUGAAGUUAGCGGCGGACGGGUGAGUAACACGUGGGUAACCUGCCCAUAAGACUGGGAUAACUCCGGGAAACCGGGGCUAAUACCGGAUAACAUUUUGAACUGCAUGGUUCGAAAUUGAAAGGCGGCUUCGGCUGUCACUUAUGGAUGGACCCGCGUCGCAUUAGCUAGUUGGUGAGGUAACGGCUCACCAAGGCAACGAUGCGUAGCCGACCUGAGAGGGUGAUCGGCCACACUGGGACUGAGACACGGCCCAGACUCCUACGGGAGGCAGCAGUAGGGAAUCUUCCGCAAUGGACGAAAGUCUGACGGAGCAACGCCGCGUGAGUGAUGAAGGCUUUCGGGUCGUAAAACUCUGUUGUUAGGGAAGAACAAGUGCUAGUUGAAUAAGCUGGCACCUUGACGGUACCUAACCAGAAAGCCACGGCUAACUACGUGCCAGCAGCCGCGGUAAUACGUAGGUGGCAAGCGUUAUCCGGAAUUAUUGGGCGUAAAGCGCGCGCAGGUGGUUUCUUAAGUCUGAUGUGAAAGCCCACGGCUCAACCGUGGAGGGUCAUUGGAAACUGGGAGACUUGAGUGCAGAAGAGGAAAGUGGAAUUCCAUGUGUAGCGGUGAAAUGCGUAGAGAUAUGGAGGAACACCAGUGGCGAAGGCGACUUUCUGGUCU